CGAUCAUCCAUGACACCCUCGUCGUAUAACACUGCUGGUUCCAUUCUGCUGCUGUCAGGGUCGCUGUACUCAGACAUGCGUUGCCCUCAAUUUGUAAAUCCAGCAAAUGGUGUUUCCUUGUAGCUGUCCUCUGGGCUGUGAGAACCAUCCCGUCGCUUGCUACCAAUUGUAACGGCACCCCCAGGGAUAAAAGGGUGUUAAAAGCCUUUUAGUAGAUAUUCCCCUUCCAGAUAUACAGGCAGCUACC